GCUUGAGGAAGUGGCACGGACAAGAUCAAUCUUUUUACCCCGGGUCAUCCUCUAAUACAAUGAAUGGCGAGAAGAAAUUAUGAUGAAAACGGAAGAAGUGUCCGGUGUUGAGAACUGGGAUCAGUAAUGUGAAAACCCAAGGUAAAAGGUUUGGCUUAUCUGCCAAAGGCCGUUUUG